AAAUCUAGAGAGAGAGGCGAUGAGGACACAGAGAGAGUAAUAGAGAAAGAGAGAGGCAAUGAAAUCAAAGUUUCAAAAAAUGAUUUUGCAAACCCAAAACCUGGGCAGAAUAGUAAAUAGAGAAGGCCCGGAGUGGGGACUAGGGAGAGAGAAAAAUCUACCACCAUCAAAUAAAGGUAAGGAGAAAAAAAAACGCUUACGAUACAAAGGAGAUAGAGUUUUCUCCUCUUAUGAAUACUCUUAACACCGACGAUUACGAUACAUAAAUAGAGGAGGAAAAAAAAAAUACCUUGCAAUAUAGAGAUGAGAAGGAGAUAGAGUUCGUACCUGCCACCAUCCAUUCCCUUGCCAGAAUUAUACCACGCAGGAAUUGAGAUGCAGACAUAAAGAGAACUACCACCGGUUUGGACAGGGCAAAGACAAACAAAUAAGAGAGAACGUGAGUUCGUUAUUCGGAAAGAGCAUUGGUAAUAAGAGAAAUCUGACAUCUUCCUGUCAGAACGCCAAAAACCUUUAUCGGGUGUUACUAUUGCACUUUCCUUUUUUCUUUUUCUUUUUUUUUUUUGGCAACACAAAGCUUGGGCGAGGUUUGAUAUUUUGGGUCUUCUAAGAUAGAAGUUCAAUGGCAGUUUUAGGUAAAUGGGGACAACCAAAGCUGCAAUGGACGUAGAUUAUGAAUCAAUCUUUUGCGCUGAUGUUAACAACUACACCAUUGUUCAAAUGAACUCACAAAACUCCAAUGCCACGACUACACAAUUGAGGAGCUCAUCACAAAGAGUUUCAACAACGUUGACAUUGUCCUCUUUAGCAAUCAGAUUGGCCAGAUGAAUGUGAAGAAAGGUGCAUCAUAGACAACAGUACCUAAUCUUUCUCCCUCUCUUUUUGGUAUUGGAACACCAUUGUUUCAUUUUUUUUUUCCUUUCGGGUUUUCAAUUCUGGCAGAUUAUUAUUGGAACACCAGUGUUUGAAGAAAUGCUUAAACUGAACUUUGGAUUGGAUGUGUGGAACCCAAUUGUUUAUGCACGUACAAUACUAUUUAUAGAUUUCUUUUAAAUUUUGUUGUGAAUUGUGAUAUCAAUAUUUGGUUAAGUAUAUGUAUGUGGGAUUGGCCUAUGUAUGCUCAACAUACAUAUUCAUAUUGGUAUAUUUAAUUUGUGUUUGCCAA